rnacentral:rRNA from 1 species
UACGAACGCUGGCGGCACGCCUAACACAUGCAAGUCGAACGAGAUCUUCGGGUCUAGUGGCGCACGGGUGCGUAACGCGUGGGAAUCUGCCCUUUGGUUCGGAAUAACAGUUGGAAACGACUGCUAAUACCGGAUGAUGACGAAAGUCCAAAGAUUUAUCGCCAGAGGAUGAGCCCGCGUAGGAUUAGCUAGUUGCUGUGGUAAAGGCGCACCAAGGCGACGAUCCUUAGCUGGUCUGAGUGGAUGAUCAGCCACACUGGGACUGAGACACGGCCCAGACUCCUGCGGGAGGCAGCAGUGGGGAAUAUUGGACAAUGGGCGAAAGCCUGAUCCAGCAAUGCCGCGUGAGUGAUGAAGGCCUUAGGGUUGUAAAGCUCUUUUACCCGGGAUGAUAAUGACAGUACCGGGAGAAUAAGCUCCGGCUAACUCCGUGCCAGCCGCCGCGGUAA